rnacentral:rRNA from 1 species
ACUACAUGAAGCUGGAAUCGCUAGUAAUCGCAGAUCAGAAUGCUGCGGUGAAUACGUUCCCGGGUCUUGUACACACCGCCCGUCACACCAUGGGAGUUGGAAAUGCCCGAAGUCAGUGACCGAACCGAAAGGAAGGAGCUGCCGAAGGUGGAGCCGAUGACUGGGGUGAAGUCGUAACAAGGUAUC